rnacentral:rRNA from 1 species
GAUGAACGCUGGCGGCGUGCCUUAAGCAUGCAAAUCGAACGAUCCCCGCAAGGGGGUAGUGGUGGACGGCUGAGUAACGCGUGGGUAUCUCCCUUGAAGUUGGACAUAGCUUGCCGAAAGGUGAGGUAAUUUCCAAUGUGGUCGCAAGACUAAAGAGUAAUCGCUUUAAGGUGAGCCUGCGUCCUAUCAGUUUGUUGGUGGGGUAACGGCCUACCAAGACUACGACGGGUAGCUGGUCUGAGAGGAUGGUCAGCCAGAAUGGGACUGCGACACGGCCCAUACACCUACGGGUGGCAGCAACUGGGAAUAUUCGACAAUGGGCGAAAGCCUGAUCGAGCGACGCCGCGUGGAGGAUUGAAGGCCCUCGGGUUGUAAACUCCUUUUGCAAGGGAAGAUUAUGACGGUACCUUGCGAAUAAGCACCUGCUAACUACGUGCCAGAAGCCUCGGUAAUACGUAGGGCGCAAGCGUUAUCCGGAUUUAUUGGGCGUAAAGGGUUGC